UACGGGGGGGGCAAGCGUUGUUCGGAAUUACUGGGCGUAAAGGGCUCGUAGGUGGCCAACUAAGUCAGACGUGAAAUCCCUCGGCUUAACCGGGGAACUGCGUCUGAUACUGGAUGGCUUGAGUUUGGGAGAGGGAUGCAGAAUUCCAGGUGUAGCGGUGAAAUGCGUAGAUAUCUGGAGGAAUACCGGUGGCGAAGGCGGCAUCCUGGACCGACAUUGACGCUGAUGAGCGAAAGCUAGGGGAGCAAACGGG
rnacentral:rRNA from 1 species